GCUAAGAAUAUUCCGCAAUGGAGGAAACUCUGACGGAGCGACGCCGCGUGGAUGAUGAAGGCCGGAAGGUUGUAAAAUCCUUUUAAGCAAGAAGAAUAAACUUUACAGGGAAUGGUAGAGUGGUGACGGUAUUGCUUGAAUAAGCAACGGCUAAUUACGUGCCAGCAGCCGCGGUAACACGUAAGUUGCGAGCGUUGUUCGGAAUUAUUGGGCGUAAAGGGCAUGUAGGCGGAUAUGCAAGCUUGGUGUGAAAGGCAGGGGCUUAACUCCUGGACUGCGUUGAGAACUGCAUAACUAGAGUAACUGAGGGGCAACCGGAAUUCCAGGUGUAGGGGUGAAAUCUGUAGAUAUCUGGAAGAACACCAAUGGCGAAGGCAGGUUACCAGCAGAUUACUGACGCUGAGGUGCGAAGGUGCGGGGAGCAAACAGGAUUAGAUACCCCAGUAGUCC
rnacentral:rRNA from 1 species